rnacentral:rRNA from 1 species
AGCUCCAAUAGCGUAUAUUAAAGUUGUUGCGGUUAAAAAGCUCGUAGUUGGUUUUCUGUGGAGCACUUUUGGUCCGUUUUAUGAACGUGUAUUAAAAUAAAUGCUUAACAUCUUCUUAGAACUGCGUUUUUGUGCUUGAAUGCAUAGCAGCGUACUCUAAGACUUUUACAUUGAGGAAAUUAGAGUGUUCUCGGCAAGCAUACGUUACGUAUAUGUUAGCAUGGAAUAAUGGAUAGUGACUUUAGUUCUAUUUGAUUGGUUUAAGGAAUGAAGGUAAUGAUUAACAGGGACAGUUGGGGGCAUUUGUAUUAACGCGUCAGAGGUGGAAUUCUUGGAUUGUCUUACGACGAACUACUGCGAAAGCAUUUGCCAAGGAUGUUUUCAUUGAUCAAGACGAAAGU